AUUGAACGCUGGCGGCAGGCUUAACACAUGCAAGUCGAGCGAGCGGCGGCCGGGUGAGUAAUGUCUGGGACACUGCCUGAUGGAGGGGGAUAACUACUGGAACCGGUAGCUAAUACCGCAUACCAUCAGAUGUGCCCAGCUGGGCUUAGCUAGUAGGUGGGGUAAUGGCUCACCUAGGCGACGAUCCCUAGCUGGUCUGAGAGGAUGACCAGCAACACUGGAACUGAGACGCGGUCCAGACUCCUCCGGGAGGCAGAAGGGGGGAAUAUUGCACAAUGGGAGCAAGCCUGAUGCAGCCAUGCCGGGUGGGUGAAGAUGGCCUUCGGGUUGUAAAGCACUUGCAGCGAGGAGGCUUUACUCGCAGAAGAAGCACCGGCUAACUCCGUGCCAGCAGCCGCGGUAAUUC
rnacentral:rRNA from 1 species